GACUCUUCUGUCAUUUUUUUCCUUCGUCUGUUUAUUGGACUUCUGGUUCUUGUUCUGCUGGUUCUCCUGCUUUACCUCACGCACUCACAAAAAAUCUGCUGGAAGAGGUGCACAGAGUUUGAAACAGUCAACCAGGAUUAACAACACAUGGUGAUGCUUCUGUUUAUGAAAACAUGAGGGGCUCUGAAGACCCUGGAAAAGGUAAAGAAUGUUCACGGUGGUAAUUAAAUAAAAUAAAUUGAUUAAAAACUUUCUUUUUCAGAUGAACCUCAGUGUGAAAACAUUACACCUCUCACCAAUCAUGGAUUGAGACAAUAAGACAAAAUAAAAAGGACAGAACUGUGGAMUUUAUUUGGUCUUUUGUCUUGUCAUGGUGAAACUAUUACAAGUUGUGAUUUACAUCAUUYAUAACUUUAUAAAGUUCUGCUUCAGUUCAGUUCAAGACUGAAUUAGUUUUCGAGCUCAAACACAUUUAAAAGAUGUUCAGCAGGGGUAACACAUCAAAACCAAGAGCCAGAACAGAAUUUUAAAAUUUUUAUUUUGUUGUUGUCAUGUUAUUUCACACCGGCAAUAUAAAGUUAGAGAAUCAUCUUCUGUUAUUCAUAGGUUUUUUUUUUACAAUUGCUAAUUUUAUUGAGAAAAGCGCUGUCACUAGUCAACUUAUUGAAGCUUGUUGCCAGCAUUUGUGUUGAAACUCAAUCAAAACCUUGUUUAAAUAUUUAGCACAAUUAUUAUUGAUGAAAAUUUAUUCUGGGUUUUUUUUUCUGUUCCAGAAUAUGUUGUACAGAAAUAUCAUUUAUACAUGCCACUUUAUGAGUGUAAUGUAUAAUUUAAUCUUUGUAUAUAUUUAAGGUUUUUAAUUUUUAUAUCAUUAAACAAGAUUUGUGUAUUAA